CGUGGACGAGUUGGAGGACGAGGAGGAGGGGGCGGAGACUCGGGGCGCCGGGGACCCGGCCCGGUACCUCAGCCCCGGCUGGGGCAGCGCGAGCGAGGAGGAGCCGAGCCGCGGGCACAGAACUGCCCAGCUCCCGUGGCUUGAGUCUCAGCAAGUGUUCAGUCUGAAGCCCUUCCUGCUGCCCACUGGCAUAGAGUUGACCCCAGAAAAUCCCUGGGGUUCUUCGGUGAGCUGACAGAGCCCAGUGGGCAGGCACCCAGAGCAGGAGGAGAUGUAGCCAAGAACAGGAUCCACACUAUCCCCUGUUUGGACCCAGGCUCGCAUGGCAGCAGCCAUCACCCGAUGUGAAUGUUCUCAGCUCCUGGAGCCUACAGGAGAAAACCCAGAUUCCUCAAUCUGCUCAUUAAGAUGUGACACCCACUCACAUCAUCUCCUCAGCCCAUUGCCUCAACAGUUCACGCUGUCAACAGUUCACGCUCCCGUGAUUCCAGCUAGUUCCCUGAGCAUAGGGGGCUAUUUUGUGUCUACAUGCCUCUGCACCCCCACCUCUAGGUCCUCUGAUUGACUGAUUUCUAGUCAGCCUUUAAAACUUCGCUGCCUCUUCUCCACCACCCCCAAUCCCCACCCCAGAGCUGGCUGUGUUUCCUUUCUUCUCUGUUGCUGUAGUACUCUGUACAUUUUAUGCCUAGCACCUUCCACAAUUGUGAUUCUAUCAUUGUGUCUCCCUCACAGGAAUAGGAGCUCGGUGAAUUCAAGGACCAUGCUUGCUUCGUUCAUUGUAUCUUCAGCACCUAGCACAGCACCCAGCACAUAGGACAUGUUUGUUGACUGAAUGCGUAUCUCUAUCAUCACACUCACUCAAUGGUGUUGAGAUAUUUGUGUUUCCCCUUCCCUAGACAGUGAGAUCCUUGAAGGCAGCUGCCUUAUCUUAUUCCUUUUUGUAUUUCCAUACCUAGCCUAAUAC
rnacentral:lncRNA from 10 species